UCUCUUGUGCUCGGGCAUUACUGUCGCCAGUGAGGUUUCUACCGAGGCACAGUUUUUUGCUGAUUGCAAAUUAUACAUCCGAACCCAUCUGUUAGCUUCGGCUUUCAGUAAUUUUUGGAAACCACCCUUUCAGCUUCCUUUCCUUGUGA
rfam:Hypsizygus marmoreus strain 51987-8 scaffold_20, whole genome shotgun sequence.